CGAUACAGGGUGACAGCCCCGUACACAAAAGCGCAUGUGCUGUGAGCUCGAUGAGUAGGGCGGGACACGUGGUAUCCUGUCUGAAUAUGGGGGGACCAUCCUCCAAGGCUAAAUACUCCUGACUGACCGAUAGUGAACCAGUACCGUGAGGGAAAGGCGAAAAGAACCCCGGCGAGGGGAGUGAAAAAGAACCUGAAACCGUGUACGUACAAGCAGUGGGAGCACCCUUUGGGGUGUGACUGCGUACCUUUUGUAUAAUGGGUCAGCGACUUAUAUUCUGUAGCAAGGUUAACCGUAUAGGGGAGCCGGAGGGAAACCGAGUCUUAACCGGGCGUUAAGUUGCAGGGUAUAGACCCGAAACCCGGUGAUCUAGCCAUGGGCAGGUUGAAGGUUGGGUAACACUAACUGGAGGACCGAACCGACUAAUGUUGAAAAAUUAGCGGAUGACCUGUGGCUGGGGGUGAAAGGCCAAUCAAACCGGGAGAUAGCUGGUUCUCCCCGAAAGCUAUUUAGGUAGCGCCUCGUGAAUUCAUCUCCGGGGGUAGAGCACUGUUUCGGCUAGGGGGCCAUCCCGGCUUACCAACCCGAUGCAAACUGCGAAUACCGGAGAAUGUUAUCACGGGAGACACACGGCGGGUGCUAACGUCCGUCGUGAAGAGGGAAACAACCCAGACCGCCAGCUAAGGUCCCAAAGUCAUGGUUAAGUGGGAAACGAUGUGGGAAGGCCCAGACAGCCAGGAUGUUGGCUUAGAAGCAGCCAUCAUUUAAAGAAAGCGUAAUAGCUCACUGGUCGAGUCGGCCUGCGCGGAAGAUGUAACGGGGCUAAACCAU
rnacentral:rRNA from 1 species